UGUGCCUGCGCGGGUCGGCCCUGGGAAGUCUCGCUUGUGGGCCCCGGCUCAGGGGCGGUGGCGGUAGGGACGGCCCCCGGCGUUUUGUGACAGCUCCCCCACCCCCACCGCCGCCUGCAUCCCCUGGUUCUCCCCCGGCUGGCGGCGACCGGCCACAGCUGCAGCGGGCUCGGGGCGUGCGGCCUGGAAUUUUCCUGACACCUUGAACAUGAGCCCCACACAAUGGGACUUCCCUGUGGAAUUAUGUUGUCGGCCUAUGGCUUUUGUUACUCUCACGGGCCUGGAUGUGGUUUAUAAUGCUGUCCAUCGAGCUGUCUGGGAUGCUUUCUGUGCCAAUCGGAGGGCCGAUCGGGUACCGAUUUCUUUCAAGGUGCUCCCAGGUGACCAUGAAUAUCCCAAAUGUAGACCCAAGAGAACUUCGUAUGAAUGGUACAUUCCCAAAGGGAUCCUAAAGACAGGCUGGAUGAACAAGCAUCUGAAUCUGGUGCCUGCCCUGGUGGUUGUGUUCUACGAACUGGACUGGGAUGAGCCCCAGUGGAAGGAAAAGCAGUCUGAGUGCGCGACCAGAGUGGAAAUAGUUAGGCAGAGUUUACAAGGGAGAAACACAAAAGUUGCAGUGGUUCUGAUUCAGAAGAAAACCCCUUUGCCCCCAGGAGAAGAUGUCAUUGCUUCAGAAAGGGCUGCAGCCUUGUGCAAUGCGUGUGAACUCUCGGGGAAGUCUUUGUUUGUACUGCCCCAUACGGACCACCUUGUGGGCUAUAUUAUAAGAUUAGAGAACGCCUUUUAUGAACAUGCACAGACUUAUUACUACACUGAGAUUAGAAGAGUGAAAUCUCAUAAAGAAUUUUUGAAUAAAACAACACACCAGCUUUUAUUUGUUAGACAUCAGUUCAAAAUAGCUUUCUUCAGUGAGUUGAAACAAGAUACACAAAAUGCUCUGAAGAAUUACAGGACCGCCUAUAAUCUUGUACAUGAAUUGAGAGCCCAUGAAACUAAUAUUCUGGAAAUUAAGACCAUGGCAGGAUUUAUAAACUACAAGAUCUGUAGGCUGUGUUUUCAGCACAACACCCCACUGGACGCAAUUGCUCAGUUCCGAAAGCACAUCGACUUGUGUAAGAAAAAAAUCGGAAGUGCAGAGUUGUCUUUUGAGCAUGCUGCAUGGAUGUCUAAACAAUUCCAGGCCUUUGGAGAUUUAUUUGAUGAAGCUAUCAAGUUGGGGUUGACAGCUAUUCAAACUCAGAAUCCUGGUUUCUAUUACCAGCAGGCAGCAUACUAUGCCCAGGAGCGGAAAGAGCUUACGAAAACCCUCUGUAACCAUGAAGCUUCUGUCACGUACCCCAGUCCUGAUCCCUUAGACACACAGACAGGAGUUCUUGACUUCUAUGGACAACGAUCGUGGCGACAAGGAGUACUAAGUUUUGAUCUUUCGGAUCCUGAAAAAGAGAAGGUGGGGAUUCUUGCCAUUCAGCUGAAGGAGAGAAGCGUUGUUCACUCUGAAAUAACAAUAACUCUUCUGAGCAAUGCUGUUGCGCAGUUUAAGAAAUAUAAAUGUCCAAGAAUGAAAAGUCACCUGAUGGUUCAAAUGGGAGAGGACUAUUAUUGUGCAAAGGAUUAUACCAAAGCUUUGAAGUUGCUGGAUUAUGUGAUGUGUGAUUAUCGGAGUGAAGGAUGGUGGACCCUGCUCACGUCUAUACUGACCACAGCUCUGAAGUGUUCCUACCUCAUGGCCCAACUGAAAGAUUACAUCACUUAUUCCCUAGAACUCCUCGGAAGAGCUUCAACUCUGAAAGAUGACCAGAAAUCUCGGAUAGAAAAGAACCUCAUAAAUGUUUUAAUGAAUGAAAGUCCUGAUCCUGAACCUGACUGUGAUAUAUUAGCUGUGAAAACUGCUCAGAAGCUGUGGGCGGACCGAAUUUCUCUGGCCGGCAGCAAUCUUUUCACAAUAGGCGUACAGGACUUUGUGCCAUUUGUGCAAUGCAAAGCCAGGUUCCACGCCCCAAGUUUUCAUGUCGAUGUUCCCGUGCGGUUCGAUAUUUAUCUGAAGGCUGAUUGUCCACAUCCCAUUAGGUUUUCUAAGCUCUGUGUUAGCUUUAAUAAUCAGGAAUACAACCAGUUCUGUGUAAUCGAAGAAGCAUCCAAAGCGAGUGACGUUUUAGAAAAUUUGACUCAGGGAAAGAUGUGCUUAGUUCCUGGUAAAACAAGGAAGUUUUUAUUUAAAUUUGUGGCAAAAACUGAAGAUGUGGGAAAGAAAAUUGAGAUCACAUCCUUGGAUCUGGUUCUGGGCAACGAGGCAGGAAGAUGCGUGGUGUUGCGUUGGCAGGGAGGAGGAGGAGAUGCCGCUUCCACCCAGGAAGCCUUACAGGCCUCCCGCUCUUUCAAAAGAAGGCCCAGGCUCCCCGCCAGCGAGGCUCACUGGGACAGCGUGGUGACCCAGGCGAGCACCAUGAUCAUUUCCCGAGUUCCAAACAUUUCUGUCCAUCUGCGACAUGACCCUCCUGCCCUGACUAACGAAAUGUACCCUUUGGUUGUGACUGUGCGAUCCCACGAGAAGACCCCCAUCAGAGACGUGAAGCUCACUGCUGGUUUAAAACCCGGACAGGAUGCCAAUUUAACUCAGAAGACUCAUGUGACUCUUCAUGGGACAGAACUGUGUGAUGAGUCCUACCCGGCUCUACUCACUGACAUUCCUGUCGGAGACCUACAUCCCGGGGAGCAGCUGGAAAAAAUGUUAUAUGUUCGCUGUGGAACAGUGGGCUCAAGAAUGUUUCUUGUGUAUGUUUCUUACCUGAUCAACACAGCUAUUGAAGAAAAAGAAAUUGUUUGCAAGUGUCACAAGGAUGAAACUGUAACAAUAGAAACCGUCUUUCCAUUUGACGUUGCAGUUAAAUUUGUUUCUACAAAGUUCGAGCACCUGGAAAGGGUUUAUGCCGACAUCCCCUUCCUGCUGAUGACGGACCUGUUGAGUGCCUCCCCCUGGGCCCUCACCAUCGUCUCCAGUGAGCUGCAGCUUGCUCCUUCCAUGACGCCCGUGGACCAGCUGGAGUCCCAGGUGGACAGCGUUGUCUUACGGACUGCAGAGAGCGCCAGUGAAUGCUUUUGUCUUCGUUGCCCAUCUGUUGGAAAUGUUGAAGGUGGAGUAGCAACUGGGCAUUAUAUUAUCUCCUGGAAGAGGACUUCAGCCACGGACAACAUUCCUGUCAUCAGCACUGUCAUCACUCUACCACACGUGAUUGUGGAAAAUAUCCCUCUCCACGUGAGCGCAGAUCUGCCAUCAUUCGGGCGUGUCAGAGAGUCGUUACCAGUCAAGUAUCACCUCCAGAAUAAGACCGACUUAGUUCAAGAUGUGGAGAUUUCUGUGGAGCCCAGUGACGCCUUCAUGUUCUCAGGUCUUAAACAGAUUCGAUUACGUAUCCUCCCUGGCACCGAACAGGAAAUGUUAUAUAAUUUCUACCCUCUGAUGGCCGGGUACCAACAGCUACCAUCUCUCAACAUCAACUUGCUCAGGUUUCCCAGCUUCACCAAUCAACUGCUCAGGCGUUUUAUACCCACCAGUAUUUUUGUAAAGCCCCAGGGCAGACUCAUGGACGAUGCCUCCAUUGCUGCCGCGUGACGCUCAGGACGGGCCUCGGCUGUUCUCACGGAGACGCUGGACGUAACUGCCGAAGUUUUUCAUGGUGAACUGUAGCUUGAUCGUGGUACAAGUUAAUCUUUGCUGUUUUUUAAUGGAUGUCGUACCAACUCUUCAGAGGAACUCAUGCUUAAAAUAUUAGGAAAAUCUAUCCUCUCUUAUAGUUUCACUAAUAAAUAUUUGAAAUCUGUCAGUGUGACGUGGAAGGAUGUCAGUCCUUUGUUACUGUUGAAAGUCAUUUUAUGGAUAGUAACGUCUUUUCAAAGUAAGGGAUUUGCGCCUGCAGUGGCCGAGGAAAGUUAAGCAUCUGAAAUAUGACUGGACAAGGGGAACACGCGCCAGUGUCUGCCCCAGGAAAGUUCUGAAUCCCCGGGUGUCUCUUUCAGAGUUGGCUAAACCGGAGGUAAAUCCAUCCUCGUGAAUCUAGCGUGCGCUCAGGAUACGUACACGGGAGCCGGAAAGCAGUCACGUGACUGAUGCAGAAAACUUCCAGAAAGUUUUAAUCAAAGCAAUUUAAGAUGUCUAAAAAAUAUCUUUGCUUACCAUCAAAACAUGUCAGAUAGGUUCAGCUUGCAGCCAAAACGUGGAUCAUUUACGAAGCAGCUCCGUGGAACAGCUUUUACUGCGAACACGGUUGCAGAGGUGUGGUGGAGUGUGUAGGGCUGGAAGUAGAUCCGUCUUCUCGAGCCAGCGCUGCUCACCUUCGGGGGAGCUGGGGCGGUGACGGGCUGGGAGGACGUGAGUUCCCGGUUCUCACGGCUUUACCGGUGGAGGCCACAGGAGUUUGUCGGAUUGUCUAGGGCCACAUCCCAGGUCCCGUGACUUUGUGCCUGAGUCCCUUUGUGCGUCUCUGUUCUUACCUGUAAGACGUGGAUGAUGAUAAUACUGUCUCAUAGACUUGAUAUGAGAAUGAUAGAAAUUAAAUACACAAGAGGAACUGUAAACAAAAGGUUCAUGAAAUAAUACUUUCUGUGUGCUCUUAUAUUUUAUAUCCUGCUCUGUUUUGUUAGAGAUAUUCCUGGUUUAGCCUGCUGAAUUGAUUUCAUGACUCACUAAGGGGAUGUAACCUGAUGUUUGAAAAACUCAAAGGUCCGUCUCAUGUCGUGCUUACGAAAUAAAGUUCUCAUGUGUCAACACCGCCAUCGUCAAACACAA